rnacentral:rRNA from 1 species
GACGAACGCUGGCGGCGUGCUUAACACGAGCAAGUCGAACGGUAAGGCCCUUCGGGGUACACGAGUGGCGAACGGGUGAGUAACACGUGGGUGAUCUGCCCUGCACUUCGGGAUAAGCCUGGGAAACUGGGUCUAAUACCGGAUAGGACCACUGCCUGCAUGGGUGGUGGUGGAAAGCUUUUGCGGUGUGGGAUGGGCCCGCGGCCUAUCAGCUUGUUGGUGGGGUGAUGGCCUACCAAGGCGACGACGGGUAGCCGGCCUGAGAGGGUGACCGGCCACACUGGGACUGAGAUACGGCCCAGACUCCUACGGGAGGCAGCAGUGGGGAAUAUUGCACAAUGGGCGCAAGCCUGAUGCAGCGACGCCGCGUGAGGGAUGACGGCCUUCGGGUUGUAAACCUCUUUCAGCACCGACGAAGCGCAAGUGACGGUAGGUGCAGAAGAAGGACCGGCCAACUACGUGCCAGCCGCCGCAGUAA